rnacentral:rRNA from 1 species
CGGGAGGCUUAAUACAUGCAAGUCGAGGGGUAACGAUGGACUUCGGUCCAGGCGACGACCGGCGCACGGGUGAGUAACGCGUACACAACCUACCUUCAAGAGGGGGAUAGCCUCGGGAAACUGAGAUUAAUACCCCAUGUGAUUAACUUAUAAUAUGAUUGGUUAAUUAAAGAUCCGUCGCUUGAAGAUGGGUGUGCGUCCCAUUAGGUAGUUGGUGAGGUAACGGCUCACCAAGCCGACGAUGGGUAGGGGGCGUGAGAGCGUGGCCCCCCACACGGGUACUGAGACACGGACCCGACUCCUACGGGAGGCAGCAGUAACGAAUAUUGGACAAUGGAGGAAACUCUGAUCCAUCUAUCCCUGCGUGCACGAUGACAGCCCUACGGGUUGUAAACUGCU